rnacentral:rRNA from 1 species
GAAUUCUCAACCAUCUCUUGAUUCAUUUCGAGACCUGGCUUGGACUUGGGGGUUGCUGGCGGCCUAGGCUGUCGGCUCUCCUGAAAUGCAUUAGCAAAGGGGUGGCUAGUCUAUUUUGACGUGCACGGCCUCGGACGUGAUAAUGAUCGUCGUCGCUGGAGCGUCUUUGGACAUGCAUGAAUCGCUCUUCGCUUCUAAUCAGAUGUUGAUCAAGUCAAGCUGCUAGCUACUAGUCGGUCGCGAGGCUGGCGAACGCGGCGGUUCGACACAUAUGAUCUCAAUUUCGAAACUUGACCUCAAAUCAGGUAGGACUAC